GCUCGCUUACGUUACCGUCCGCCACCAAAUCCUGGUUCGGGAAUAUUAACCCGAUUCCCUUUCGAUGGGCAGCGCAAAUUGCGCUCUUGAUACGGCGUUAACCCAUCUCUUAGGACCGACUAACCCAUGUUCAAAUGCUGUUCACAUGGAACCUUUCUCCACUUCGGCCUUCAAAGUUCUCAUUUGAAUAUUUGCUACUACCACCAAGAUCUGCACUAGUGCCCGUUUCACCCCGGCUCACGCCGCAGGCUGCUUCACGAGCACCACGCCCCCCUACUCAUCGAAGCCUCGCACUCGCUUCGAUGGUCAAGUAUAGGCCACGCGCUUAAGCGCCAUCCAUUUUCGGGGCUAAUCCAUUCGGCAGGUGAGUUGUUACACACUCCUUAGCGGAUUCCGACUUCCAUGGCCACCGUCCUGCUGUCUGUAUGAGUCAACACCCUUUGUGGGAUCUAGGUUAGCGCGCAGUUGGGCGCCGUAACUUGACUUUCGGUUCAUCCCGCCUCGCCAGUUCUGCUUACCAAAAAUGGCCCACAUGGAACUCGUAUUUAACGCCGCGGUUCGGUUAGGCAACCGCGACUCUUACCUAUUUAAAGUUUGAGAAUUGGUCGAGGAUGUUACAUCCCCGAUUCCACUAAUCAUUCGCUUUACCCGAUAAAACUAAAAAGCUCCAGCUAUCCUGAGGGAAACUUCGGGGGGAACCAGCUACUAGAUGGUUCGAUUAGUCUUUCGCCCCUAUACCCAAGUCCUAAGAACGAUUUGCACGUCAGUAUCCCUACGAGCCUCCACCAGAGUU
rnacentral:rRNA from 1 species